rnacentral:tmRNA from 1 species
CGUGUCAGAAAAUUACACUAUGACAGAAACAACUACCAUCUCUGGACAAACAUCAUCUGGAUUUUCAUUUCAUGUGCCUAUCAUGGUCAUAGUGUUGAUUUUGCUGAUUAUUGGACUGUUGCUGUAUGGAGCAUAUAAGUGCUUUUUCUGGGUUAUGUACAAGCGGGCACAGAUAAUGGGGUUGCCAGCCCAAGCACUCUUGUCACGUGUAAAGGUGUAAAAAUCAUUGUACAAACUUGACUAAAUAAAGAUUAUUUUAUUGAAAAAGAGAUGUAUGAUAUCUUGUUUGUUGUCAUCACGUAACAGGUCAUAACACACGCAAUUAGAACAUCAUCAGACAUUGUAUGUGUUUUGGAUUGGAAGGUUAUGGUUUUGUUCUUGUGGUAUAUACAUUUGGUAUUUUUUAUCUGUUCAAUCAGAUAGGAGAUUGGGUCACUAGACAGCAGGACAGUGUUAGAUACCACGGUUUGGCUGGCACAGAGCAAUCCCUGGUUCAAUGAAGAGAUAAAGUUUUGGAAGGCCAGUGUCUUGUCUCCACUCAACAUAUAAAUAGGCCAUUGCAUUCCAGUCUUGUCUCUGUAGGAGGCAAACAGGGUUGGUAGUUUAAUGUUGUGGGAAAUAAAAGUUGCUAUGGCUACAGCUGAGUCUUGAUUGCUAUUUCCCUCUAUUAUACACCUGAUUUCUUGAAUCCAGGGGUGUUGAAACAAUAUUCCCUCCAACAGAGCAGUGGCACAUGAGGCUAUGUUGUGAGCAGCAGUUCCAGUGAGGUUGUUCAGGAAGAAAUGUUCCAACCCUAAGAUAAUACACUUUUUAGUGUGUUUACAGUGACUCAUGGCAACUAUACCAGUUCCAGAGGCGUGGACGUUGUUUCCAUAGGCGGGGUCAAUAUACACAAAAAGUGUAUUUUCUGUAGUUGGGGCCCCCUGGCCCGCAGUGUCACACCUAUAAAAGUCUAGCCGGGUCAGACUGGACUCGUGUAUCAUACUGUUCCCAGAGACUUCCGUGUGUGAUUGCAUAUUGCCCAUUAAUUCUGUGGCAAAUGAUCCCUCUAGCAGUAAAUUGGUGGUACACUUUAUAUUAUCAUUGAUGGUGAUAAAUUCUGGAACAUACAGGCGAUAGCAAGGGCAGGCAGUGAUUGCGCUCUGUUUGUUGAAGUCUUCCAUAUGUUCGCUACAGACAUAGCUGACAACGUUCACCAUCUUCUCAUUGGCAUCUUUGAGGUUAUACAAAAAACUUGUUGUCUUCUCUCCUGAAUUUACAGAGGAGAUAAAAAAGAUCUUGGCAUCCUUCUGUAACAUAAACCCCAAGAUUGCUGGAAGUGCUUCCUUCUUUAUGAAAUUUGCUUCAUCAACAAACAGUAGAUUAAAUGUCUGCCCCCGGAUGCUCUGUGAAUAAAUCAAAGAAUCUGGUUACUGAUCAGGAUCUCCUGGAUGUGGUGAAUUUUUUUAACAGACCAUUACAUGCUCUCAUUGCUGAGGUGUCAAAAACCACUUCUGAUUUGGAACUUGUCAGGUCAACCACCCAAGGUAUUGAAAAUAUCUGUCUCCUGCUAGACUUGGUAGGAACAGAAUGUAUAAAAGAUGCAAGCGCGGCCAAGACAAGUGUAUGAUGCGGCCUCUUUCUAACCCUUUAACAGAGGCCUAUAACGUGCAAAAUUUGUACCAGUGUCUAAAUUGUGAUGAUUAUCACUUGUGUAAUGGUUCUCUCAACUGUGAUCCUCUGGUGGAUCGAGAGGGAAUUGUGUGCACAGUCACUGGAAAGUAUAUCCAGUGUAAUGUCAGGGAAUCACCCAUGUGUGGGGCAGCGUGUCUGGACGUGGACAUUCACCCAGAGGACAAUACAGACUGCAUUCUGCGGGCACUGUUUGGUGACAUUGUAGAUAUUAUUAAUAAAUUGGAUGAUAUUGCUGAAAUUAAAGAUAAGAUCCUCGCUGGAGACUCCCUAAAUGAGCACAUCAAGAAGAAAAUUGAGUGUACCUUUCCAAUGUGCGCCAACAUCAUUAAUUGUAAUAGCCAAGGCUAUUCCAUACUUUGUAGCAUGUUUGUCCAUAUUAUUAUGUCAAUCUAUGCCAACAAAACCAUAUAUGGCCACAUGCUAUUUAAAUGCACCAGAAAUAAAAAGUAUGACACCAUUGC